rnacentral:rRNA from 1 species
GACGUAGGGCGCGAGCGUUGUCCGGAUUUAUUGGGCGUAAAGAGCUCGUAGGCGGCUUGUCGCGUCGACUGUGAAAACCCACGGCUCAACUGUGGGCUUGCAGUCGAUACGGGCAGGCUAGAGUUCGGUAGGGGAGACUGGAAUUCCUGGUGUAGCGGUGAAAUGCGCAGAUAUCAGGAGGAACACCGGUGGCGAAGGCGGGUCUCUGGGCCGAUGACUGACGCUGAGGAGCGAAAGCGUGGGGAGCGAACAGG